UAGGGAAUCUUCCGCAAUGGACGAAAGUCUGACGGAGCAACGCCGCGUGAGUGAAGAAGGCUUUCGGUUCGUAAAACUCUGUUGUUAGGGAAGAAAAAAUGUAUAGUAACUAUAUACAAAAGAGACGGUACCUAACCAGAAAGCCACGGCUAACUACGUGCCAGCAGCCGCGGUAAUACGUAGGUGGCAAGCGUUGUCCGGAAUUAUUGGGCGUAAAGCGCGCGCAGGUGGUUUAGAAAGUCUGAUGUGAAAGCCCACGGCUCAACCGUGGAGGGUCAUUGGAACUAAUAAACUUGAGUGCAGGAGAGAAAAGUGGAAUUCCUAGUGUAGCGGUGAAAUGCGUAGAGAUUAGGAGGAACACCGGUGGCGAAAGCGGCUUUUUGGCCUGCAACUGACACUGAGGCGCGAAAGCGUGGGGAGCAAACAGG
rnacentral:rRNA from 1 species